rnacentral:tRNA from 1 species
GCGGGGAUAGCUCAGCUGGGAGAGCGUCAGACUGAAGUCAAUACUUCGGUAAUAGCAAUCUGAAGGCCCCGUGUUCGAUCCACGGUCUGCGGCG